UACGUAGGGUGCGAGCGUUGUCCGGAAUUAUUGGGCGUAAAGAGCUCGUAGGCGGUUUGUCGCGUCUGCUGUGAAAACUCGGGGCUUAACCCCGGGCCUGCAGUGGGUACGGGCAGACUAGAGUGCGGUAGGGGGAGACUGGAAUUCCUGGUGUAGCGGUGAAAUGCGCAGAUAUCAGGAGGAACACCGGUGGCGAAGGCGGGUCUCUGGGCCGUAACUGACGCUGAGGAGCGAAAGCGUGGGGAGCGAACAGG
rnacentral:rRNA from 1 species